AUGCUCCUGUUUGAUAAAUGGACAAAUACCAGAAAUAAUUUUUCAAUGAAUUUGUUGCAUCCAAGACUAACAACCAUGUGCGCUGUAACCAGCAGACAAUUUUUUAUGACAAUUUUAUUAAUUAACGAAGUGAGGACCCACCACAAAGGUCACAGGACGAGACUUUUCUGCCUUUCACACUACCAGUCUGAAACAGAAGUAUUUUGAUUAAACUCAUUUUUACCUUUUUGAUUUCUAUUUUAAUUUUUAUUUUUAUUCAUUCACUAUUUCUUAAUUUGGAGAAGUAUUUAGAGACUAAUUUACUUAUUUUCCAUUUACAGUAAGAUCUCGAAUUAUCGGAUUGUGAUUUAACGGAUCGAUCCUCCGGUCCCUUCAGCGGGAUCGACUAGCGCAAUUUAGCGGAUUCUGCGAUUUAACGAAUUCGGCCUCCGGUCCCAUGGAAUUCGAUAAAUCGAGGUCUUACUGCAGUUACUCAUGUAUUAAAAUUUUGAUUCAACUGUUCGUGAAAUAUAAGAUUUUGACUGUUUUUAAUUUGUACAUUUAUAAAAUAUGCCAUUGAAAGCGGGGUUUUAAGUCUCACAUGUAACCAGCGCAUGAUUAUAAUACAAGACACAUUUUCGAUCUGAAGGAAACAGCUACAAGCAAAGAGGGCAAAGCGUAUAACCAAAAAUCAGUGGAAAUGUUUAACAACUUAUCUCCUCCACUACGGAAGGCCUUUUAGGAAGAGGGAGGCAUAGUGCUCCUGGGGAAAUUAAAAAAAAAGCCUACAGGAAAGGCCUCAUCACUCAUUGAAUAAGUUUUUUAAUGACCCAGUUCAGGAUUUUUUUUUUAUGUCUAUUAUGUAUAUAUGUAAUGUGCUGUGUAUGUGACCUCGUAUUAUAGCCCUAUGGCUUCAUAUACAGAAUAAAUAUUAUUAUUUUUUUUUAUUUUAUUUUUUUUUUUUGGGAAGACUCUUAAGCAUAAGAAAAUAGAUGUACAAAAGUAACAAGCGAAAAAGAACGAUGUAUCAGUAAUAUAUAAUGAAGAAGUAGAAAUAAUAACAAAUAGAUGAAGAUCAGCAAAAAUUCAUAAAAUACUGAGAAAAGAAUAAAGCCACUUCAGCCAUAGGCAAAAGAGAGUACAAGACUUUGAAUCACAGAAUAAGCGUAUACAGGUAGCGUAGAAAACGGGUAAAUUGUGCACCUCAUGCAGUUGCAAAUUUAAAGUAAAGGACCGUGCACACUCCUUAUGGGGAUGUGGAUCAAUCGAUUUAUAGAUUUUUUAAUUGCGUUAAACUUGAGUAUGGAUGCUGAUUAAAAGUCAUCAUUGCGCUAAUUUUCUAUAAUGCACUGUUUUCCCACAAUCUGCAAUGUAGUGAAUUUUCGAUAAUCACUUGAGUAAGUGAGGGCAGGGCAGCGCGGUAAUAAACAGUCGGAAAGGUCCCACUGUAUCUUUCAGCACUUGCUGAAAAGGAGGAAUACAUUCGCGUUUAGGCACAUUGUGAUCAGAACCAGUCUUAUCUCGGAUUCCGCACGCCUUUUCGUUUCACCGUCCAAAUCAGAUGCUUUUGCCCUUCCACUCUUUCCCUUUUCUGUCACCGGCUGAGUUUUUCCUCGUUAAAUCGCCACGCUGCCUUCAUCUAUCCAAGGAAAUAUUGAAGCUACAAUUGCGGAUUGUGUGAAAACGGUGCCUCGUAGAAAGUUGGUGCAAUGAUGACUUUUAAUCAACAUCCACAGACAAAUCUAAUAUAAUAAAAAAACUAAAAAUCGAUCAAGGUACGCAUCCCUUCAAAGAGUGUGCGGGGUCCUCUCUUAAUGAUCGUUUAUUGACCUCCUGAUGUGUAUUCAAUGGUUAUCAAGAUUUUUAAUUACAUACUCUUCUUUGCAUUGCUUACGAUCAUUGUAGUUUCAUAAGUCGUCCUAAGAAGUAACCGUUGUUGUUCUUUUUUCUUCUUUCAUAAGUGGUCCACAUCAUAAAUGAAAGUCUAUAAAAGUGUAUUUCUGACUGUGACACUGCAAAUCUCCGCUCAUGUUUUCCUUUUCGUUUUUUACUAGCAAACCAGCCAACAGUUUUUGUUAUAUCUUUUUGGGUGAAUUUUUCUUCAAUUCAAAAAUAGCUUUAAGGAGAGAUUGUGGCUGUUUUCUUCAAAGAAAUCACAACACCAUCGAACUAUCUUUAAAUGUUGCAAUGGAGGUAUUUUUUUUAUGACUGUAGCCAUUGAUAUAUUUUUUUACCUAUUUUUCUUAAGUCUUUUUACAAGUUUUUUUUUUACGAUUUUCAUGAGGCAAAGAAGCCAUCUGUUCUUUAUUUGCAAGAGGUUCCCAGUGGCCUCAGCUCAAAGUGUUUCUGUUUGUUUCAAGUAAAAUGAACCUCAGAUUUAUAGUAAUUGAUUUGAGAGCUUUUUGUGAAAUCUUACCCAUGUAUUUCUGAUUUUGAAGCAUUGAUUGGAAACUAUACAUUUUUCUGAAAGUGAUGCAAUAUGUACCUGCAAAUUGUGCCUUUUUAUUGUCUGCCCUAGACUAAAGUUUCCUUGGGGCACUAAGUAUCAAAAUUAUAUAUACUUGUAAAAAUUCAAGGUAUUUUUGCUCUGUUCUAAUAAAAUGUUAUUGUUUACUUUUUUAAU
rnacentral:lncRNA from 1 species